UACGUAGGGUGCAAGCGUUAAUCGGAAUUACUGGGCGUAAAGCGUGCGCAGGCGGUUUUGUAAGUCUGAUGUGAAAUCCCCGGGCUCAACCUGGGAAUUGCAUUGGAGACUGCAAGGCUAGAAUCUGGCAGAGGGGGGUAGAAUUCCACGUGUAGCAGUGAAAUGCGUAGAUAUGUGGAGGAACACCGAUGGCGAAGGCAGCCCCCUGGGU
rnacentral:rRNA from 1 species